CCUACGGGGGGCAGCAGUGGGGAAUAUUGGACAAUGGGGGCAACCCUGAUCCAGCCAUGCCGCGUGUGUGAAGAAGGCCCUCGGGUUGUAAAGCACUUUCAGUGAGGAAGAACGCCUGGUGGUUAAUACCCAUCAGGAAAGACAUCACUCACAGAAGAAGCACCGGCUAACUCCGUGCCAGCAGCCGCGGUAAUACGGAGGGGGCGAGCGUUAAUCGGAAUUACUGGGCGUAAAGCGCGCGUAGGUGGCUUGAUAAGCCGGUUGUGAAAGCCCCGGGCUCAACCUGGGAACGGCAUCCGGAACUGUCAAGCUAGAGUGCAGGAGAGGAAGGUAGAAUUCCCGGUGUAGCGGUGAAAUGCGUAGAGAUCGGGAGGAAUACCAGUGGCGAAGGCGGCCUUCUGGACUGACACUGACACUGAGGUGCGAAAGCGUGGGUAGCAAACAGGAUUAGAUACCCCAGUAGUC
rnacentral:rRNA from 1 species